rnacentral:rRNA from 1 species
UGGGGAAUAUUGCACAAUGGGCGAAAGCCUGAUGCAGCAACGCCGCGUGAGUGAUGAAGGUCUUCGGAUUGUAAAGCUCUGUCUUUUGGGACGAUAAUGACGGUACCAAAGGAGGAAGCCACGGCUAACUACGUGCCAGCAGCCGCGGUAAUACGUAGGUGGCGAGCGUUGUCCGGAUUUACUGGGCGUAAAGGGUGCGUAGGCGGAUGUUUAAGUGAGAUGUGAAAUACCCGGGCUUAACUUGGGAGCUGCAUUUCAAACUGGAUAUCUAGAGUGCAGGAGAGGAGAAUGGAAUUCCUAGUGUAGCGGUGAAAUGCGUAGAGAUUAGGAAGAACACCAGUGGCGAAGGCGAUUCUCUGGACUGUAACUGACGCUGAGGCACGAAAGCGUGGGUAGCAAACAGGAUUAGAUACCCUGGUAGUCCACGCCGUAAACGAUGAGUACUAGGUGUAGGAGGUAUCGACCCCUUCUGUGCCGCAGUAAACAC